GAUGAACGCUGGCGGCGUGCUUAACACAUGCAAGUCGAACGGUGAAGGCGGAGCUUGCUCUGCUGGAUCAGUGGCGAACGGGUGAGUAACACGUGGGCAAUCUGCCCCUGACUCUGGGAUAAGCGCUGGAAACGGCGUCUAAUACUGGAUACGAGCUGCGAAGGCAUCUUCAGCAGCUGGAAAGAAUUUCGGUCAGGGAUGAGCUCGCGGCCUAUCAGCUUGUUGGUGAGGUAAUGGCUCACCAAGGCGUCGACGGGUAGCCGGCCUGAGAGGGUGACCGGCCACACUGGGACUGAGACACGGCCCAGACUCCUACGGGAGGCAGCAGUGGGGAAUAUUGCACAAUGGGCGAAAGCCUGAUGCAGCAACGCCGCGUGAGGGACGGCGGCCUUCGGGUUGUAAACCUCUUUUAGCAGGGAAGAAGCGAAAGUGACGGUACCUGCAGAAAAAGCGCCGGCUAACUACGUG
rnacentral:rRNA from 1 species